AGCCCUCGAAGUCCCCUUGUUGCUUCUGUGGUUACUGCACCACUAUCUGCUCACUGAAUAUCAGUUGAACAUUAACAUGCCCACAGGCCAACCAUACCGGAUUCUGAUGAAGGCAUGACCAGUCUACUGAGAGAUGUGCCUGCCAAGCCGGCAGUGGGCACAUCUCCACUGCAGCUUCUGCUUGGUGGCCUGAUGGACCUUCUGUCCGGGAUUUUUUCCUCUCUACCGAGCCUCGCCUUCACCCUUGCUUCUCUUCUACUGAGUUUCAAGGGAAGCUCUCCCUGCAUAUGGAAUAAAUUGGGGGACAAAGGCUAUUGGAUAGAGUGAGCCCUCCCUCCAUGUUUCUGAUAGGACAACAAUCCCACAUCUGUGCUCCAGAUGGGUACCAAGGGAGACUUUGGACUCCAUCUGCAGAAUGGAAUAUUUCUGAUUUCACUGUUAGGACUAUUAUUGAUCCCUUCAUCUUCUCCUGAUUCUUGGGCUACAGUAACAGCCUUCCUAUUCAGCCUCCCUGCUUGAAAUUUCUAUUUUCUCCAAGGCAUGUGCCACAUAGUUACCAAAGUUAUCUUCCGAAGGCAGAGGGCUGAACAUAUCAGUCCUUCCUCAAAAACCUUCAGCAGCUCCCCCUGUGUCUAAGAGACAAUGUAUCCUUCAAACAAGACAUUUAAAACUCUAACCGAUCUAAUUCUCACCCACAUUUCUGAGUAUUUUUUCUAUUAUUCCCUUUAUGGAAGCUUUUCGAUGUCAAAUUGAACUCCAAGCUGUUACCUGACAUUUCAGUCCCACCUCUAUGUCUUUGCCCAGUUGAUUGAUCCUUCAUGGCCUAAUGUGUCUUCUUAGCUUCUUUUACACCAUAGCUGAGGUGCCAUUACUUAUUGAAGUCAUUUCUGAUUCCCUGUACCAGUAAAUAACCCCUUCUCUCUUCCAUUUGUAUUUAAUUUGUAUUUACCGAAAUGUACACGUGUUUUCUCCACCAGUAGAAUGUUGGAUCCUUGAGAAGACACCUUCUUCCACUUUAGUGUCUCUUCCCUCAGGGCUAAGUAUAGUAUCUUGUCAACGGUGGUCAAGAAAUAAAGCGUUCUUAAUCAAAUUUGAAAAAUAUACCUUCCUAUAUUUUAUCAUGUUUAAAUUUUUCACAAAAAUUUAACCGUCAGAGGAAUUUAAAAUAGAGAUUAUUCUGAGUAGAAAAGUAGACCUGACUGACCACAACCACCACUGCUCCCACUACUACUAGUAUUGCUACUGCUACUAUGACACUUACUAGUACAACCCCUGGCCAUAGACUGGUUUAUAUUGUAGGUGGAAUUUGAAAGGGAACUCACCAUAGGGGCAGAAUCUCCCCAAUCUCUGGUUUUAUUUAUAAGACCAUAUUGCUCAUAACAGUCUAUACUAAAGCAAUCUCAAGACAGGGGAAUAUGAUAAGGUAUUAGUUAAACAGGUUGUCUGAAACUUACCUCCAACUAAGACAGUGUUUUCAAAUAAGUAUUUGAUUGAAUAGGAAUGAUCUAAUGCUAAUAGGAAUAAGGUCCUGAUCACAUCUGUAGCAAUGGAUUUGGAGGUAGCAUUGCUAACAUGAGGUUAGUCAGUGCCAGCAUCUUAAGGGAAACUUGUAGGACAAGUCCAGCUGUGGCAUCUGUCUCCUCUUUUGGGGGCCCUUACUCUAUCCAGAUAGCCAAUUAUGCUCAAUCUCUCACAAUCAUAUAUGGGGAACAAUGUAUUAUUCCUCUUUUUUGACAAAGUAGAUAACCAGCAGAUCUGGGAAAUACUCGGAAAGAAUUUACUUAUAUUUUAAUGAGGCCUUUCAUAAAAUAUCAUACACUAUUCUACAGGGAAGGAGAAGUAAUAAUAUAAUUCCAAAGAUUUAGAAUUAGUUAAAUGGCAGAAACAAAAAAAACAGUGGUAAAAGUUUAAUGGAAACUUGGUUGGAAGUCUCUCAGGAAAUGCCCCAGGGAUCUUUAUUUGGUUCUUUGCUGUUUAAUAAUUUUAUUAAUAACUUGGAUAAAGGGACAUGUAACAUGCACAUCAAAUAUGCAGAUGACCAAAAAACCGAGAGAGAUGGAAGACUGAAAACUGAAGACAAGGUCAGGAUCCAAAAGGUCUUGACUAGCUUGAAUAUCGGGCUGGAUCUAAUGAGAUGAAUUGUCAAAACAUUAAAUGUAAAUGUUCAAUGUGGGCUCAAAAAAUCAGUAUCAUAAGAAUAGGAAGGAGGAGACCGAGCUAGGCAGGAGUUUGAAAAAUAAAGGGAUAGGGAUGGGAAGUAGAUCUAGGGGAAUGUAAGCUUAGUGUGAAUAGUGAACAUGAUCUAGAAGUGAAAAAAAGCUAAUGUGAUCUUGGGCUCAAUGAAGAGCAGAAGAACUUCCAAUAAUAAGCAGAAUCCAACAUUGUAUUGGUAGACAAAACAUGUAUACAUUUCAAUAAAUACAGAGUCAUUCUGGGCUCUGCCUUGGACCUGC